GACGAACGCUGGCGGCGUGCUUAACACAUGCAAGUCGAACGAUGAAGCGGGUGCUUGCACUCGUGGAUUAGUGGCGAACGGGCGAGUAACACGUGAGUAACCUGUCCUUUUCUUUGGGAUAACGGCUGGAAACGGCUGCUAAUACUGGAUAUUCAGGCUGCAUCGCAUGGUGUGGUUUGGAAAGGUUUUUUCUGGGAUUGGGUGGGCUCGCGGCCUAUCAGCUUGUUGGUGGGGUGAUGGCUUACCAAGGCUUUGACGGGUAGCCGGCCUGAGAGGGUGGUCGGUCGCACUGGGACUGAGAUACGGCCCAGACUCCUACGGGAGGCAGCAGUGGGGAAUAUUGCACAAUGGACGAAAGUUUGAUGCAGCGACGCCGCGUGGAGGGUGUAGGCCUUCGGGUUGUGAACUCCUUUUUCUCGCGAAAAAGGCACAGUUUUAGCUGUGUUGAUGGUAGUGGGGGAAGAAGCGCCGGCUAACUACGUG
rnacentral:rRNA from 1 species